rnacentral:rRNA from 1 species
GUGGGGAAUAUUGGACAAUGGGCGAAAGCCUGAUCCAGCCAUGCCGCGUGUGUGAAGAAGGUCUUCGGAUUGUAAAGCACUUUAAGUUGGGAGGAAGGGCAGUAAGUUAAUACCUUGCUGUUUUGACGUUACCGACAGAAUAAGCACCGGCUAACUUCGUGCCAGCAGCCGCGGUAAUACGAAGGGUGCAAGCGUUAAUCGGAAUUACUGGGCGUAAAGCGCGCGUAGGUGGUUUUGUAAGUUGGAGGUGAAAUCCCCGGGCUCAACCUGGGAACUGCCUCCAAAACUGCAUGACUAGAGUACGGUAGAGGGUAGUGGAAUUUCCUGUGUAGCGGUGAAAUGCGUAGAUAUAGGAAGGAACACCAGUGGCGAAGGCGACUACCUGGACUGAUACUGACACUGAGGUGCGAAAGCGUGGGGAGCAAACAGGAGUAGAAACCCCGGUAGUCC